AACAGUGGAGUAGUUGAGUAAUCGAUAUGAAUCGAAUCAAAAGAUUCCCUCCGCUGCUAUAAUCGUGACAGGAUUUCCUCAGGUGACGGUGGUUGUGUUUCGUCUGCUCCUGCAGAGCUGAAGGCAGAGUCUGAGGAGUGUUCGGAGCGUCUGGAGGAGAGACAGCGGCUGGAGAUCGAGCGGAUGAAGAGCUGCUAUCAGCAGCAGAUGGAGGAGACGCAGGAGCGCUUCACCGCCGAGAUCCUCCUGCUGCAGAGCCGACUCCAGGAGCUCACAGGAGCCCACCAGCUCUUCAGCAUGCCGCCGCAGACGAGAGACGAGCGCUGUGAUCGUCUUCAGGAUGAGGAUGAGGAGCGUGUCUCUGUAGAUGUGGCGCGGGAGCUGCAGGCCGGCCGGAAAGCCUGGUAUGGG